UCCUCAUCAACCGAGUGUGAAAAUCCUGCAAAAACAGUUUCAUAGUCAGAGAGACCUGAAUUAUAUAAUCUAGAAUAGAAGAAUUUGUUUUAGUAAUUCGAGUUGGUGACUCUACGUGCUUAUUUAGCUGGAAUGACUCAAAAAUAUUUACUAGAGACCUCCGAAUGGCUUUAUCAUUAGUAAAGUCAAUGUUAAAAGCAUCGCAUAUAACUUUUCUGCUCUUAAUAAGCAGAACACCGAGUUAAUUUAGAAGAUUCUCGAAACAAGAAGGAGGAGGCUCAAAUGCAAUUACUUUUAGUUCUAGGAAUAAAAGUGUUGCUAAGCGUAGAGCAAAUUUUUGUACGGUAAGGGAAUUGAUGGUUUUUGCACGUGAAAAUAAUACAAAAUUGUCAACAAUUUUUGAUGGUUGGAGAAAUAAAUUUUUUUCACAAAAUUUUUUGGAAACUCACCUGUGAUUGUCCAAUAUACACUGUGAUUUAUUUGAUUUAGAAUAUUUAUUUUGACAUAAGAUCUGAAAAGCACCCUAAUUUUCGAUCGCAAAUUCUCCUCUCAAAAUAUCAACUUUUUUUAAAAAGUCAUUGAGGCUAUGGCCGUGAUAAACAGAAAAGGCAAAAAUAUCAAAAAAAAUUCGCAUCUGAAAAUUUUGUUUAAUCAUUGUGUACAAUUUUUAAAUAUUUAUUGAAAUUUUAGACUCCAAUUAUUUAUGUUUUUCAAUGUAACAUGAAAUUUCACGUGUUUCGUGUAAAUAAUAUUCUUUCACACAAACGGAAAGUAGAUAUUUCAACGAAGAAAAAUUUCACCGACUUUUUAAGAAAAACUAAUAUUCUGACGCGAGAAUUUUCGUUCGAAAAUUACAAUACUUUUUCAAUAUUAUGUCAAAAUAACGGAAAAAAAUGAAUAUUUCAAAUCAAAUGAAUCACAGUAAAUAUAGGACAUAAAACACACACACAAAUUUUCGGAGACAAAAAUUGUUUUUUGUAAAAGGUAAAACUAAGGAACCAAAAGCUUGAUUUUUUAUUUUACACAUACAUUUUAAGGUUAUAAGUUGUAGAUCUUUUCAUCCUGGUGAUAUCCCUAGACGAAGACGGAAGAAUAAUCAAGUUAGUGGGAAAAGAUGGUAAAGUUCCUUUGCAAAAGUCUCUAAUCAGGAUUACAUCCAUCCCAUGGUCUAAUUAGGUCAUCUUCCCUCGAUCGUCGCGAACACUAUGAUAUUUUAAAUUUUAUAAAAUUUAGGUGUGGUAAAGUCAUUGAGUGAUUGCCAGUCCAUUCUUAUGGAUGCAUAGAUCAUUUUGAGUAAUAUAUGUUUCUAAAAAUAGACGUGUUUUGUAGUUUUUCUUAAUUGUCAAAAGACUGGCCGAUUCAUAAUUCAUAUUAUGUCCUUCAUGCUUGACACAUGUCGCUAAUAAACACCUGUUAGGAUAUAAUUUGCUAUCACUCUUGUAGGAAGUUAUCCGAUUAUUGAGUGACCUCUUCGACUGUUCAAUGCAAUUCUUGCAACAAUUUAAGGUAUUUCAUAUACUAUGUUAGGCAAUUUAUUGAUUGGUGUUUUAUCUUUUAUUUUAGUAAGAAUAGAUUAAAUAUUGGAAAUUUGACUGUACACUAUAAUUAUAUAUUGAGAUGUUCAAAGAUUUCAGAAAUUUUAGGAGUAACUGAUUUUUUAUAUGGUUAAUGUGUAUAAAUAUGUGACAUAAAAAUGUCGGGAUGGACGCUUGAAGAUGAUAUCAGUUCAUUGUUUAAGUCAGUGUCAAAUGUGUUAUAUAGAAUUCGUUUCAAAAGAUUUCAAUGAUAUGAGUUUUCAUAAAAAAGUUUGUAAAGCACUCGUAACGACCUAAUCUAUAAAAUUUAAUGUCAUUCAUAAACUAACCAAUCAAUAUUCAACAUCAUUCACAACAAACCAACCUUAUCUAGCUUAUAAAAAUUCAACAUCAUUAAUAAUUCAACCAAUAAAAAUUAAUAACAAUUUCCAUAAUAACUAGAAUCAAUAUUUCGAUAAAUUAAUUCUAUCAACCGUCAAUUUGAAUAUUGAACUUUGAAAUGCAUGGAUUCAAUGUUUUUCCAAGAAAUUACACAAUUUAAAAUUGCCGAAUCUUAACUAGUUAUUAUAAAUAUAUUUGAUUACAUACAUUUAUACAUAUUUUUAUAUUGUAGCUUCACCAUAAUGUCAAUCCUAGACGACGAAUACAUAAGUAUUCGAAAGCUCGGAAUAUAUUAAAGUUAGUACACUUUGUGUUCAACACUUUUUUUUCUUAAUAACAUGAUCGGGAUUGUGAAUGGAAUUGAUUAGAAAAUAUGUAGAAUAAAAUUAAUAUUAUUUGCUUA